rnacentral:misc_RNA from 1 species
UAACUUUUUGUAAGCACUACUUAGAGGCUAGGUCCAAAUCCAACAUCUAAAAACAAAUAUUCAGCUUUUAAGUUGGAAAAAUUGCAAACACUGUAACAACUAGUGCAUGCUAUGCAACAUUAAUACUGAAAAAUCACACUUCUUAAUGAAGGCAUUUCCCAUAAAGAACUAAAUUGCACAGUGGAGCUUCAACUAAGAAGCCUGCCUUAGUUGAACAUGAAUAAGAAAAUUUUAAUAAAAACUACCAUAAGUACAAUAAAGCUUAAAAUAUACCUUUUUCCGCAUCCUCUGAUUGAG